rnacentral:rRNA from 1 species
ACAUACGACCAUAGACUUAAGAGAAUUGGGCAUCCCGUCCGCUCUGCCAUACACAAGCUUAAGAUCGGUGGAUUAGUAGUUGGGUGGGUGACCACCAGCGAAUACCCACUGUUGUAUGUU